GACGAACGCUGGCGGCGUGCCUAACACAUGCAAGUCGAACGGAAAGGCCCUGCUUUUGUGGGGUGCUCGAGUGGCGAACGGGUGAGUAACACGUGAGUAACCUGCCCCUGACUGUGGGAUAACUUCAGGAAACUGGGGCUCAUACCGCAUAGGAUCUCUUGCUGCAUGGUGGGCAUUGGAAAGUUUCGGCGGUUGGGGAUGGACUCGCGGCUUAUCGGCUUGUUGGGGGGGUAGUGUCUUACCAAGGUUUUGACGGGUAGCAGUCCUGGGAGGGGAGCCGGACACGCUGGGACUGAGAUACGGCACAGACUACAACGGGAGGCAGCGGUGGAGAGUGUUACACAGUGGGAGGGAGGAUGAUGUAACAACGCAGCGUGCGGGAAGACAGGAUUGGGGUAGUGAACUGAUGUUGUCUUAGACGAAGUGAGAGUGACGGUACCGGGUAAAGAAGCACCGGCUAACUACGUG
rnacentral:rRNA from 1 species